rnacentral:rRNA from 1 species
GAUGAACGCUAGCGGCAGGCUUAAUACAUGCAAGUCGAGGGGCAGCAGUUUUGUAGCAAUACAGAAGCUGGCGACCGGCAAACGGGUGCGGAACACGUACGCAACCUUCCUUUAACUGGGAGAUAGCCCACCGAAAGGUGGAUUAAUAUCCCAUAGUAUAUUUGAGUGGCAUCACUUAGAUAUUAAAGCUCCGGCGGUUAAAGAUGGGCGUGCGUCUGAUUAGGUAGUUGGCGGGGUAACGGCCCACCAAGCCCACGAUCAGUAGCUGAUGUGAGAGCAUGAUCAGCCACACGGGCACUGAGACACGGGCCCGACUCCUACGGGAGGCAGCAGUAAGGAAUAUUGGUCAAUGGACGCAAGUCUGAGCCAGCCAUGCCGCGUGGAGGAUGAAGGUCCUCUGGAUUGUAAACUUCUUUUCUUUGGGACGAAACCCCUGUUUCUACGGGGACUGACGGUACCAGAGGAAUAAGCACCGGCUAACUCCGUGCCAGCCGCCGCCGUAAGAC